rnacentral:rRNA from 1 species
AGAACGAACGCUGGCGGCAUGCCUAACACAUGCAAGUCGAACGAGACCUUCGGGUCUAGUGGCGCACGGGUGCGUAACGCGUGGGAAUCUGCCCUUGGGUUCGGGAUAACAGUUGGAACGACUGCUAAUACCGGAUGAUGUCUUCGGACCAAAGAUUUAUCGCCCAGGGAUGAGCCCGCGUAAGAUUAGCUAGUUGGUGGGUAAAAGCCUACCAAGGCGACGAUCUUUAGACUGGUCUGGAGGGGAUGAUACAGACCACACGUGGGACUGAGACACGGCCCAGACCUCCGUACGGGAGGCAGCGAGGUGGGGAAUAGUUGGACAAGUCGGGACGAAGCCUGAUCCAGCAAGUGCCGCGU